GACGAACGCUGGCGGCGUGCUUAACACAUGCAAGUCGAACGGAAAGGCCCUGCUUUUGUGGGUUGCUCGAGUGGCGCACGGGUGAGUAACACGUGAGUAACCUGCCCUUGACUUUGGGAUAACUUCAGGAAACUGGGGCUAAUACCCGAUAGGAGCUCCUGCUGCAUGUUGUGGGUUGGAAAGUUUCGGCGGUUGGGGAUGGACUCGCAGCUUAUCAGCUUGUUGGUGGGGUAGUGGCUUACCAAGGCUUUGACGGGUAGCCGGCCUGAGAGGGUGACCGGCCACAUGGGGACUGAGAUACGGCCCAGACUCCUACGGUAGGCAGCAGUGGGGAAUAUUGCACAAUGGGCGGAAGCCUGAUGCAGCAACGCCGCGUGCGGGAUGACGGCCUUCGGGUUGUGAACCGCUUUCGCCUGUGACGAAGCGUGAGUGACGGUAAUGGGUAAAGAAGCACCGGCUAACUACGUG
rnacentral:rRNA from 1 species